rnacentral:tRNA from 1 species
GCAUCCAUGGCUGAGUGGUCGAAAGCAUUGGACUCAUAAUCCAAAUUCCAUUAGGAACAUCGUUGGUUCAAGUCCAACUGGAUGCA